UUUAGUUUUUCAGUAAUUUUAUAAUUACCAAAAUUUUCAGGUUUUCCGUGUUUGAAUGAUCAUAAAACCAAGAGGAAUGAAAACGGACGUCACUAAUAACACGGGUUAAAGUCAAAUGCGGACUAUCUAUUGGCAUUCUUCGUCAAGCGGCGAAUUGGCUUUUUUGACUUUGGUUGUGCAGGAGGUAAAGCUUAACACGGACUCUGUCUCUUGGCUUUGGAAGGCGAAUCCCACAAGUUUUUUUUGGUCCUCUCUUUGAGGAAUCUGAUGUCGAAUAAAUUGAGGGAUCACAACUAUUUUUGUAAUUUUAAGUAGGUGAGUUGGUUUCCAAUCAAAACUAAUUGUUUUGUUUGGAGAUUGAUCUUGAAUAGAGUUUGUGUGGCUUGUAAUUUGGUGAAUAAAGGAGUGAGUUUGGCCUCUCCACUGUUUGUCAUCUGUGCAACAAGGAAGAUGAGAACGUUGACCAUCUAUUUUUCAAAUGUUAGAGUUCCUCAUUGCUUUGAAGAUCGCUACUUCUGGGAAGAACAAAAAGAAGCUCAAUUUUGCCUUAUUUUACUCUUUGGUUUGGGUGAUUUGGAAGAUGCAGAACUCUUUGAUUUUCAAGAAGUUGAGAUGUUCUCCAAUGAAGGCAGCAGAUGAUUUCCAAUUGAUAGCGUUUAAUUGGAUGAAACAUAGAUAAUGUUUUAAUUUUAUUAGUUGGUUUGAUUGGUGUAUUUCUCUUUUUAAAGCUUAUAACUUGUAAUGCUUGUACUUUUUUUUGUCUAGGUUAUUGCUAGCCUCUUUUAAUGCAUCUGUUGUUAAGAAAA